GGGUAUAGCUCAGUGGUAGAGCACGUGCUUGGCACGCAGGAGGUCCUGGGUUCAAGCCCUGGCACCUCCA
rnacentral:tRNA from 1 species